rnacentral:rRNA from 1 species
CACGUAGGGUGCGAGCGUUGUCCGGAAUUAUUGGGCGUAAAGAGCUCGUAGGCGGUGUGUCGCGUCGACUGUGAAAACCCGCGGCUUAACUGCGGGCUUGCAGUUGAUACGGGCAGGCUAGAGUUCGGUAGGGGAGACUGGAAUUCCUGGUGUAGCGGUGAAAUGCGCAGAUAUCAGGAGGAACACCGGUGGCGAAGGCGGGUCUCUGGGCCGAUACUGACGCUGAGGAGCGAAAGCGUGGGGAGCGAACAGG